GCCUUACACAUGCAAGUCGAACGGUAACAGGUCUUCGGACGCUGACGAGUGGCGAACGGGUGAGUAACACAUCGGAACGUGCCCGAUCGUGGGGGAUAACGGAGCGAAAGCUUUGCUAAUACCGCAUACGAUCUACGGAUGAAAGCAGGGGACCGCAAGGCCUUGCGCGGACGGAGCGGCCGAUGGCAGAUUAGGUAGUUGGUGGGAUAAAAGCUUACCAAGCCGACGAUCUGUAGCUGGUCUGAGAGGAUGAUCAGCCACACUGGGACUGAGACACGGCCCAGACUCCUACGGGAGGCAGCAGUGGGGAAUUUUGGACAAUGGGCGCAAGCCUGAUCCAGCCAUGCCGCGUGCAGGAUGAAGGCCUUCGGGUUGUAAACUGCUUUUGUACGGAACGAAAAGCUUUCCUCUAAUAAAGGGGAGUCAUGACGGUACCGUAAGAAUAAGCACCGGCUAACUACGUGCCAGCAGCCGCGGUAAUACGUAGGGUGCAAGCGUUAAUCGGAAUUACUGGGCGUAAAGCGUGCGCAGGCGGUUUUGUAAGACAGAGGUGAAAUCCCCGGGCUCAACCUGGGAACUGCCUUUGUGACUGCAAGGCUGGAGUGCGGCAGAGGGGGAUGGAAUUCCGCGUGUAGCAGUGAAAUGCGUAGAUAUGCGGAGGAACACCGAUGGCGAAGGCAAUCCCCUGGGCCUGCACUGACGCUCAUGCACGAAAGCGUGGGGAGCAAAAAGGAUUUGAUACCCUGGUAGUCCACGC
rnacentral:rRNA from 1 species